UCAGCCCAGUGCAUUUCAGAGAAUAUUGCAGAUCUACAGAAGAUGCAGAAAGAGUCGACCCAAUUAAUAAAGGGGCCAGAGCAACUCCUCUGUGAGAGACUACCUUGAAGACUUUCACCACAGACAAAAGGAAGUCAACAAAAAAGGCAUGAAGGCAAUAACUCUCCCAAGCUGGCUGCUCUCAGCCUGAUCAGCAACAAAGCAAUAAUGCACGCACGCACGCACGCACGG